rnacentral:rRNA from 1 species
GAUGAACGCUGGCGGCGUGCUUAACACAUGCAAGUCGAACGAUGAUCCGGUGCUUGCACCGGGGAUUAGUGGCGAACGGGUGAGUAACACGUGAGUAACCUGCCCUUGACUCUGGGAUAAGCCUGGGAAACUGGGUCUAAUACCGGAUAUGACUCCUCAUCGCAUGGUGGGGGGUGGAAAGCUUUUUUGUGGUUUUGGAUGGACUCGCGGCCUAUCAGCUUGUUGGUGAGGUAAUGGCUCACCAAGGCGACGACGGGUAGCCGGCCUGAGAGGGUGACCGGCCACACUGGGACUGAGACACGGCCCAGACUCCUACGGGAGGCAGCAGUGGGGAAUAUUGCACAAUGGGCGAAAGCCUGAUGCAGCGACGCCGCGUGAGGGAUGACGGCCUCGG